AUUGAACGCUGGCGGCAUGCCUAACACAUGCAAGUCGAACGAGUGGCGGACGGGUGAGUAAUGUCUGGGAAACUGCCCGAUGGAGGGGGAUAACUACUGGAAACAGUAGCUAAUACCGCAUACCAUCGGAUGUGCCCAGAUGGGAUUAGCUAGUAGGUGGGGUAACGGCUCACCUAGGCAACGAUCCAUAGCUGGUCUGAGAGGAUGACCAGCCACACUGGACCUGAGACACGGUCCAGAGUCCGACGGGAGGCAGCAGUGGGGAAUUUUGGACAAUGGGCGCAAGCCUGAUGCAGCCAUGCCGCGUGUAUGAAGAAGGCCUUCGGGUUGUAAAGUACUUUCAGCGGGGAGGCGUUACUCGCAGAAGAAGCAUCGGCUAACGCCGUGCCAGCCGCCGCGGUAAUAC
rnacentral:rRNA from 1 species